CAGGACGUCAUAGAGGGUGAGAAUCCCGUAUGCGGCCGGCGUCGACGCCCGUGUAAAGCUCUUUCGACGAGUCGAGUUGUUUGGGAAUGCAGCUCAAAAUGGGUGGUAAAUUUCAUCUAAAGCUAAAUAUGGGCCAGAGACCGAUAGCGCACAAGUAGAGUGAUCGAAAGAUGAAAAGCACUUUGGAAAGAGAGUUAAACAGUACGUGAAAUUGUUGAAAGGGAAGCGCUUGCAACCAGACUUGGGCGUCGCUGAUCAUCCAAAGUUCUCUUUGGUGCACUCGACGACGUACAGGCCAGCAUCGGUUGGGGUGGUGGGAGAAAGGUUGUUGGAACGUGGCUCUUUUCGGAGAGUGUUAUAGCCUGCAACGCAAUACCGCCUACCCCGACCGAGGACCGCGCUUCGGCUAGGAUGCUGGCGUAAUGGUUGUAAGCGACCCG
rnacentral:rRNA from 1 species